rnacentral:rRNA from 1 species
GACGAACGCUGGCGGCGUGCCUAAUACAUGCAAGUCGAGCGAGCUUGCCUAGAUGAAUUUGGUGCUUGCACCAAAUGAAACUAGAUACAAGCGAGCGGCGGACGGGUGAGUAACACGUGGGUAACCUGCCCAAGAGACUAGGAUAACACCUGGAAACAGAUGCUAAUACCGGAUAACAACACUAGACGCAUGUCUAGAGUUUAAAAGAUGGUCCUGCUAUCACUCUUGGAUGGACCUGCGGUGCAUUAGCUAGUUGGUAAGGUAACGGCUUACCAAGGCAAUGAUGCAUAGCCGAGUUGAGAGACUGAUCGGCCACAUUGGGACUGAGACACGGCCCAAACUCCUACGGGAGGCAGCAGUAGGGAAUCUUCCACAAUGGACGCAAGUCUGAUGGAGCAACGCCGCGUGAGUGAAGAAGGGUUUCGGCUCGUAAAGCUCUGUUGGUAGUGAAGAAAGAUAGAGGUAGUAACUGGCCUUUAUUUGACGGUAAUUACUUAGAAAGUCACGGCUAACUACGUGCCAGCAGCCGCGGUAAUACGUAGGUGGCAAGCGUUGUCCGGAUUUAUUGGGCGUAAAGCGAGUGCAGGCGGUUCAAUAAGUCUGAUGUGAAAGCCUUCGGCUCAACCGGAGAAUUGCAUCAGAAACUGUUGAACUUGAGUGCAGAAGAGGAGAGUGGAACUCCAUGUGUAGCGGUGGAAUGCGUAGAUAUAUGGAAGAACACCAGUGGCGAAGGCGGCUCUCUGGUCUGCAACUGACGCUGAGGCUCGAAAGCAUGGGUAGCGAACAGG